UACGUAGGGGGCGAGCGUUGUCCGGAAUCAUUGGGCGUAAAGCGCACGUAGGCGGUCUGUUAUGUCGGAUGUGAAAGCCCUUGGCUUAACUGAGGAAGUGCAUCCGAAACUGGCAGGCUAGAGUACUAAAGAGGGUCGCGGAAUUCCCGGUGUAGAGGUGAAAUUCGUAGAUAUCGGGAGGAACACCGGUGGCGAAGGCGGCGACCUGGGUAGAUACUGACGCUGAGGUGCGAAAGCGUGGGGAUCAAACAGG
rnacentral:rRNA from 1 species